rnacentral:misc_RNA from 1 species
UGUGGGAGCUGGCUUGCCUGCGAUAGCGGUGUGUCAGGCACCUUGAUUGGCCUGAUGCACCGCUAUCGCAGGCAAGCCAGCUCCCACA